rnacentral:tRNA from 1 species
GCGGGGGUUGCCAAGUGGCCAAAGGCGCGGGACUUAAGAUCCCGUCUCGCAGGAGUUCGCGGGUUCGAAUCCCGUUCCCCGCACC